AGACCAUGAUGUGGGCAAAGUCUCAUCAUAUCUUUGUACCUUUCUUAGGCUUCAAAGAGGGAUUCCCCUUCAGCUUGUCUAAAACAAGUUAUUUGGUUUCUUAAAACU